rnacentral:rRNA from 1 species
GAUGAACGCUGGCGGCGUGCUUAACACAUGCAAGUCGAACGGAAAGGUCCUGUAUCUGUGGGGUGCUCGAGUGGCGAACGGGUGAGUAACUCGUGAGUAACCUGGCCCUGACUUGGGGAUAACUACAGGAAACUGGGGCCAAUACCGGAUAGGAUCUUCUGCGGAAGGGUGGGGGUUGGAAAGUUUCGGCGGUCGGGGAUGGACUCGCGGCUUAGCGGCGCGUUGGUGGGGUAGUGGCUUACCAAGGCUCAGCCGGAUAGGCGGCCUGAGAGGGUAGCCGGCCACAUUGGGACUGAGAUACGGCGCAGACUGGUACGGGGGGCAGCAGUGGGAAGUAUGACACAGUGAGCGGAAGCCUGAUGCGACGACGCCGGGUGCGGGAUGACGGCCUUGGGGUUGUGAACCGGUUUCGCCUGUGACGGAGCGUGAGUGACGGUAAUAGGUAAAGAAGCACCGGCUAACUACGUG